rnacentral:rRNA from 1 species
GACGAACGCUGGCGGCGUGCUUAACACAUGCAAGUCGAACGGAAAGGCCCUGCUUUUGUGGGGUGCUCGAGUGGCGAACGGGUGAGUAACACGUGAGUAACCUGCCCUUGACUUUGGGAUAACUUCAGGAAACUGGGGCUAAUACCGGAUAGGAGCUCCUGCUGCAUGGUGGGGGUUGGAAAGUUUCGGCGGUUGGGGAUGGACUCGCGGCUUAUCAGCUUGUUGGUGGGGUAGUGGCUUACCAAGGCUUUGACGGGUAGCCGGCCUGAGAGGGUGACCGGCCACAAUGGGACUGAGAUACGGCCCAGACUCCUACGGGAGGCAGCAGUGGGGAAUAUUGCACAAUGGGCGGAAGCCUGAUGCAGCAACGCCGCGUGCGGGAUGACGGCCUUCGAGUUGUAAACCGCUUUCGCCUGUGACGAAGCGUGAGUGACGGUAAUGGGUAAAGAAGCACCGGCUAACUACGUG